rnacentral:rRNA from 1 species
GACGAACGCUGGCGGCGUGCUUAACACAUGCAAGUCGAACGGGAAGGCUCUGCUUUUGUCGGCUGCUCGAGUGGCUAACGGGUGAGUAACAAGUGAGUAACAUGCCCUUGACUUUGGGAUCACUUCAGGAAACUAGGGCUAAUACCGGAUAGCAGCUCCUGCAGCAUGGUGGGGGUUCGCAAGUUUCGGCGGUUUGGGAUGGACUCGCGGCUGAUCAGCUUGUUUGGGGGGUAGUGGCUUACCAAGUCUCUGCCGGGUAGCCGGCCUGUGAGGGGCGCCGGCAACGUUAGGACUGAGAUACGGCCCAGACUCGUAUGGGAGGCAGAAGGGGAGAGUAUUGCACAGUGGGCGGAAGCCUGAUGCGGCAACGCCGCGUGCGGGAAGACGGCCUUCGGGUUGGAAACCGCUUUCGCCUGUGACGAAGCGUGAGUGACGGUAAUGGGUAAAGAAGCACCGGCUAACUACGUG